UCGCCUGUACACAAGACCAGCAACUGAACCUGGAAUAUCAGCAUCAUCAGUCACUGAUUCAUGUAUAAACUCUCUCGCAUCUCCAUCUUCAAUUAUUUCUGGGAAAUCCGCAUAAUGAGAGCCUUGCCAAACUUUCUUGUCAGUCAAGGUUAGGGCUUCGCUGGAAGAGUUCCAAAGCUUGCCGUUUGUGCAUUGUUGAGCAUUUUUCUGAGAAGCAGCCAUGGUAGCUUUCUAUGUGCUAUGGUUUGGUUGUGUUAUGCUUCAAAUAUUGCACUACACACCUACUUAUAUACUAGUUUACACCAUGCAUGCAUUGCCCAUAACAACAAUGUUUAUGCGGACGAAAUUUGUAGACUUCAUUCAUAUCAAAACUUUUCUUUAUUCCUAUUCUUGAUGUGUCUUUUCACUUCUAAGUAAACAUUCUUUUCAAUUAAAGAAAUAUAUUUUGAAGUAUUUGGAUUUUUUGAUAAAUUAUUUUUUAAAAUUAUAUAAUUUUUGUAUUGUAAAUUAUCAAUAUAAAGGGUAAACAUAUGUAAUUUAUCUCAUAUAUAGAAUAUAUGUAAUUUAAAUUAAGUUUUGAUUAGGCAUAAUUUAUUAUCAAGUUUAUAUAUGAUAUUGAUUAUCACAAAAUAUUAUUUUAUUAUAAAAUAAAUUUCAAUUAUGAAAAGGAAAUUGUAUUACAAAAUUUUGUAAUAAAUAUAUUUAUUUUGUGUUGGCUUACAAAGAACAACUUUUAAAAAAUAAUUUUGGAAAAUUUUGUCAAAUAAUAAAAAAUAUUUUUAAAAAAUAUUUCAAGCAAUACAAUAUAUAUAUCAAUUUUUUUUUCAAAAAAUCAAUUCAUUUUUAAAAGAAUCAUUUUCCGAAUAGUUAUUAAAUAACGAAAGAAUAUGAUAGUUUUGUUUUUUUCUGGUAAAGCAUAAGAUACUCUUUAAGUUAAAACCAUGUUAGGUUACGUUACAUUUAUUACGUGGAUGAUUGAAAAAAUUAUUGAUGAAAAUUGUAUCUCGGAGAAAAUAUAAAUAAACUUUUAAUAUCAAAUUUUGAUAUUUCGUGUUAAACUUUUUUUAUGAAAUCAUAUUUCGUAUUAAACUUUUGUUUGAAUUUCUUUUAAUAUCAAAUUACUUUUCAUAACUUAUCGUAUUUUAUUUCAUAUUUAAUUAUUUUUAAAUUGUGUACAUGCAAUUUAGCAUGUAUAAUAUUAAUGACAUUACUAGAUUUUAAUUGUUGUUUUAACUUUGAAUUUUUUUUACUAUUUUUUAAGAAUAACCAAAUAUUUAGAAUUUAAUCAAAUGAGACUUUAGUUUAGUUGGCAAAAGCAGAGGUCUUGAGUCUUAAGUACCUAAGUUUAAGACCUACCAUGGACAAUUAUAUACGUAAGGUUUUUGAGUUUUAGUUUAGUUAAUCUUAAUUUGGUUUUAGUCUCGACUAUAUUAGUACAAUUGAUUUAUGAUUAUUUAUAUUUAUAACUAUAUUAUACUUGUUAUACUUCAAAAAGAAAAGUUGAUAAGUGAGUGAGUCAGAGGAAGCGAAAGAAGGAUCGUAUUCAAGUUGUUUGAUUCGAAAAAGAAAGAUUUGGAUGUGACCUGAAAGAAAAAACCGAACAAAUUUAGAAAAUAACAAAAAUAAUAAGAAAAAUUUUAAAAAUAGAGGAUAAAUAUUCAAAAUAAUAACUAAAUAGUGAAAAGAUAGAUUAAAGCAAAGUGGAAGAUGGAACAAUAAACAGAUGAAUAUGAUGGAUAGAAUGAUAAAUGCCCAGUUGAACCUUUUGAGAUAUAAAUCCCAACAAACUCAAUUAAUGGCUCUAAUCAUCCCUUCAAGAAAUAAUCCUUGGCAAAUUGAAGGGUGAAGAAUGAAUUCUCACGACUCUUUGAAGAAAAUCGAGAAGAAAACUACUUCUAAAAAUCACAAGAAAGAAAUUUUGCACAAGAAACAAACUCAAUAAUAUUCAAAGAGUAAUCAAAGAUAUUAUUUUGAGCCUUCAAAUUAGCUUCGAUCAUGGACGUCUCCUUUAAAAAUAUGGUACGUACCAACACUAAAAAAAGAAAUGUUAAGCACAUGAGUGUUCAAGUAAAAUAUAAAUUGUAACUUUCUUUGAAUAUGCAUAGUCAUCCAUAAGAAUUUCCAAAGAUUAGUUAAUAAUUUCACAUAAUAAUCAAAAUACAAAAGUUUAAUAUUAUUAUGUAAAAACCCAUAUUUAAAGUCUAAGGUAGAAAAUUUUGUUGCAAGAUCAAAUGCUUAAAGUUAGUUAAUAAACCUAUCGAAUGCAACAAAAGUAACCUUACCAUACCUAGAUAAACCCAUAAAAUCAAUUGAACUUUCAUACCAAGGUUUAAUAAAAUUUGAUCAACGAGAAAACAUGUUGUAAGGAAAUAUUUUACACACAAAAUCAGUAGCAUACUUAUAAAAAACAUUCAAGGUAUGUCUUCUUAAAUCAAUUUCUAAUAUUCACUUACAUUUCUUACCUUGUAACACUUGUGGGUAAUUAUUAAUAUUCAACUUACUUCUUUUCCACAAGUAAAAUCGUCUAUCGAUAGUAGAGUAAUAUAAUUGGAAGCCCGUCAAUGGACCCUUAAAACAAAUUUGAGUUAGGGUUAGUUAAAACAUAAUCAUUCUUCACUUUUGUAGGGGUAUUUUCUUGCUUUUCAUUUUUUCCACUUGAGAACUCUCCAAUUUUACCCUAUAUGAAUUUUUACUCACCAAAAUUGGACCAUUAAGUAUACUUUUUGUUCGAAAAAUUAUAGUUUAUGGGAACUUUGAGGCAUAUUCUCAAUUGGUAAAGGUGGAGAGUUGAAUAAUAAAAUUAUGCCUUCAUAUUCUACACCAUGAGACCUUUACAGCGAUAUAUCACAUGCUCAAAAUGGUUGGGUGAUGAAUGAGAAAUUGAUGUUCAAAGUAAGCUACUUGUGAAUAUUUGUUGAGGAAAAGAAAAGCUUAGAUCCCACAUUGGUUAAAUACCAAGUGUAAUAUGUGUAUAUAUAUGAGAACCCACUUGAAAGGUGAUUGGUUGACUAAGCUGGGAUUCUUGUCUCGCAUGCAAGGGGUGCAGGUCCAAACUCGUUGGGAUUGGGGGCACACUCGCACGACGUGGGCGACGUGAUAUGUCGGGCACAAAAUGGGCCUACAAAUAUUAACCCAACACGAAAUUAUUUUUAUUCUCAGCAAAUAUAUACAAAACCUAAUUUAAAAGGACGUAUAUCCUAAUUUUAUUUGAUUCUAAUCAAUUUCAUUUAAUUUUAAUCAAAUUUAUUUAAUUGCUCCUUUAAUGCAGAUUUUGUCUCCUUAUACAUGGAUAUUUCCAAAAUUCCUCCACUUUGAGUGCCUAUAAAAGGCUAAGACUUCUGCCGAAUUUUUUGCUCAAUCUCACUCUCUUUUCCUCUCCAUAAUUCUCAAUGUUUCCGUGAUAGAAAAAGGAAACAUUUGUCCGUUGAUCAUUGCAUAGGUGCUAUUGCUUCGAUCAUCGUGUUGUUGUAUCCUGGGAGACAUUCGACCAACUUUUUUCCAAGUACAGUAGGAGCGGUCGAAUCUGUCGUAAGGAAACUAUGUAAAAUAGGUCUCAACAUCUAGUAAAAUUCGUUAUUCUUUUCGAUUUUUGUUAUGUUAUUUAUUGAUUUUUCGUAUCUAAAAAUUUAAAUAUAAAUUAUUCAAUUUAUUUUAUUUUAUAUAUAAAUAUUUGUUUAUUUAUAUAUAUUUGUUCGCUAAUGUGUUUUGUCCAACACUUUUAUCACUCAAAGUUUCUUUUCUCUCUAUCUUUUCACAUGAUUCUUCUUCACUUCCUAUAUCCCCCUCACAAAUAUUAUGAAUAUUCAAUUCAAUGAAAUACAUAUCAGUGGGAGAACCUGACGUUUGUAUAUCAUCUAACUCUAUAGAUUCAAAGAAAAAAUCUCACUAUCAUCUAUAUUAAUCAACAAAAGUCUCGUGCUAACACAAUCACGACUAUAGUGCCCACACCCUUUGCAUUUAAAACAUUCAAUUUCAUGAACUCUUUGUUUUUUUGGUAAAGAAUUAGUAGACGUGGGCUACUUAGAAGAUGUAGAAGAAGGUUUUGUAGGAACCCCACUUUUCCACUCAAAAGGUUUAUCUCAUCACAUUUUGGCAGCAAAUUAUUAGUAGCAUAAGGAGGUUUCGAAUUCUUUAAAGUAAAAUUAAAACUCGUACCUCUAUAAUAUUGCGAUGCACCAAAUGAACGAGGAUGGCAUUGUUGAAAUUACUGCUCAAUCUCAACUUCCUUGUGUACCACCUCCUCAAGAUCAAUGUAGGUUUGAAGAUUAAGAGUAUUGGCUAUGGAAACGUUCAAGGCAUCUACAAAUUGCACCAUAGUAGUCUCUUCAUCUUCUCGCACAUUUUCUCUUCGUAUAAGCAUCUCCAUCUCCUUAAAGUACUUAUCAAAAAAUUGAUUACCUUGAACAAGGCACCGAAGUUUUGUUUUGACCUCUCUGUAGUAAUGAGAAGGAACAUAACGCUUUCGCAUCACUUGCUUCAACUCGUCCCAUAUUUCAAUUACCCUUUCAUAAUUUCUUUGAUGAUUAAUUUCAAGUUGAAUCCACCAACUCAAUGCAUAAUCUGAAAACCCAAGGGUCGCCAAUAAGACUUUUUCCUCUUACCGACAUUUAUAGUAAAGAAACAUAAGUUCAAUUUUUGAUUCCUACUCACCAUAUGCUUCGGGAUCAUACUUCCCUCGGAAUGGUGGAAUGUUGAAAUCUGGUUUAGCUAAAAAAUGUUGCCCGUGGUCAUUAUUAACCAAAGUCUCAUCAUUUGGAUGAUAGACAGAUCGAGCAUUAUUUGCAUGAAGACGAGGCUGAUCAACCUUAUCUCCCCAAUUAUGAUUCCGACACUCAAUUUUGGUACUUAGACAUUCCAAAUUUUUGUUGAUUGUGUCUAAAAUAGUGUCACAUUUAUGAUCUCGAGCAUUUUGAACCUCUUGAUCCUUUUGCAACUUCCCAAUCAUAGUAUUGUGAAUCAUUAUGAAAGCUUAAAAAGAACACAACACUAAAUAAAAGAAAAAUUAAGCAAACCUCACUAUUAUACACUCACAAUAAAUAAAUAAAAACUCUAAGAGACAAAGACAAAGAAAAUAAAUUAAGAUUUUCUUGCUUGUAACUUUUAAAGAGUAAUCAAACUCAAUAAUAUUCAAAAAGAUGUAGGAUCACUCUCUAAAAAAGUCAACUUAAUGCUCUAAGAAUCCAAAGAAAAACUCGACUCCAAAGGAAGUAAGUUGCGCGGAGAAAGAAGAGGUAACUCUUUUCGUACCUAUUAACACAAGAAACGAAAAUGUGUUAGAAUGUGUAACAGAGUAGGAAAAGCUAAAAAAAAAGAAACCCUAAUGCUAGAAUCAAAGAAAAUAAACUAACCAACUGAAAACCCGAAACAAUGGAAAACAACUUGAAUUUUUUCGUUCAAAGUGUUCUCGAUUUCCAAAAUCACGAAAUUUAAACUAGAGUCUCCUCAAAUAAUGUAGAUUCGAUCUAGAAAAUUUUUGCACGAAAUUCAACCCACAAAAUAUUUUUUUAUUUUUUCUUUUAUUCGUAUUUAUUUUUCACUUUUUUGAUCACUUCUUUUUAUGGGAAAUAUUUUUUUUAUAUUCUAAGAGAUUGCCAAGAAUUAGUAUGUAAACUUUUAGAUCGUUUGGAAAGCGUUUACCCACUGAAAAAUAUUUUUUUCGAAAAUUUUUUAGGUAAAAAGAAAAAAAAACUAUUUUGAGAUUGUUGUUGGAAAUCACUUUAUAAGAACACCUAAAAUGCCCAAAUCUGAUACCAAAUUAUAAGGAUUGAAGUGGAGGAAGUGGAAGAAGGUUCGAAUUCAAGUUGUUUGACUUAAGAAGAAACGAUUUGGAUGUGACCUGAAAGGAAGAAACUAAACAAAUUUAGAAAAUAACAAAGGAAAUAAGAAAAUUAAGAAAAUUCAAAAAAUAAAAAAAAUAAAGGAUAAAUAUUCAAAAUAAUAGCUAAAUAGUGAAAAGAUAGAUUAAAGCAAAGUACAAGAUGAAACGAUAAACUGAUGGAUAUGAUGGAUAGAAGAAUAAAUGUCUAAUUGAACUCUUUGAGAUAUAAAUCCCAAUAAACUCAAUUAAUGACUCUAAUCAACCCUCUAAGAAAUAAUCCUUGGCAAAUUGAAGGGUGAAGAAUGAAUCCCCACGACUCCUUGAAGAAAAUCGAGAAUAAAACUACUUCUAAAAAUCACAAGAAAUAAAUCUUGAACCAGAAACAAACUCCCACAGUUGAAAACUUUAUUAUUGAAAACAAUUUUCUGAUUUGUGUACAAUGCAAAGGCAUAUAGACUAGCUAAAUAAAUCUAAAUAAAACUCUUAAGUAUACUAGAACUCUAAUAAAUCUAAACAAUAAGUAGUUUUAAACUAAACUUUCUUAUUGACAUCAAACUCCUAAAUAACUUAAACAACUUAAUAAUUAUUAGUUAAAAAUUCGGAAUAAUAAAAUAGCAAGAGCUGAUAAAAAUAAUAUUUGGCUCAUAUAUAAUAAAAAUUAAGCCCAAAACCCAAACCCAAUAUGAUUUAAACUCGAGUUAAAAGCCUGAAACUCAUAAUUCCCAUCAUAAUCCCGUCUAGAAAUUCUACUCACACGGUCUUCACUAAAACGAUCAUAACUUGAGCUCUCGAACUCAAAAUCGAGUGAUUUAAAUUGUGUUUCGAAGAUAAGAGAUAGAUCUUCGAACGCCAUGAAGAUAUCUCAACCCAAAAAUGUCUGGAUUCCAUCCAAAAAGUCAUCACAAUUCUGUUGAUUUCCCAAGCUUAAAAAUUGAAAGCUUUAAUGAAUAUGGAAUUUAACAAACUUCACCCCAUCAAUGCAUGUAUAAAAAAUAAAUCAAAAUUUUCUUUUUUCUUUUUUUUUUCAGAAUCUCUUAUUAAUUGCUAAUAUAUCUAGACAUCUCUUUUGUGGUGACAUCCACUUUAAACUUCAUAAUUCCAAAAUAAGGUGAGCAAAUAAGGGAUUUACCUUCCAAUUAUAUAUCCGGACUAGAUGAAUAUAUGCCUGUUAAUUUUGCUUUUGUUUUUCUUAGGAAAAAAGAAACAGAAUAUGCAAGAACCUUCAUUCCUCACCAUCUUUAUCGUCAUCAUCAUGUGUUUGAUUUUGCCUUUUACCUGACUAAUUGGAAUGUAUACAUGUGUGUGUAUAUAUACAUGCUAAUUGUCACUAUCUUUAAAACAUAUAUUCCAAUUAUAGAGGAAUAUAUGUUUGUUAGCAUCCUCGCAAUUUCAGGCUUAUUUAUUAAGGUGAGAUAUUUAAUAAAUACGAGAUUCAUGAUACACUUACAAAUGGGCGAAACUUGAAAAUUUUUUUAGAGGGUCGAAAUUAAAUUAUAAUUUUCACAAUAGUAAAAAUGUAAUUUCAUCAUUUUAAUAGACUCUAUCUUUAUAUUUUCAAAGGAUUAAAUAAAAUUUUUUAUCAUUUUUAGGGGGGGCAAAAUACAAUUUUACCUUUACUAAUUUAAAAUUUUAAAAAUUUCAAAUGGCCUAAAUAAAAAAUUUUCCAUUUUAGGGGUGGUCGGCCCCUGCUAGGCCCUUGGUUUCACCCCUUCACUUACAUUCAUAUUAUAAAUGGAAAAGAAAAUUUACUAUGCAUGAAUUUAGAGUUGUCUAAGGGUUGAGUUACUCGUUUGAACUCGAAGGUCUGCUCAAAAUAUAAAAGGGCUUGGACAAGUAGAUAAAGCCCGAAAAAUGGAGUGAUUUGAGAAACAAUAUAAGUUCGAAAUAUAAAAGAGAUAAAAUAAUUAAAUAAAAAAUUAAAAUAAUUUUAUUUAUAAAAUUAGAGUAUCAAAUAAGCUAUUAUACCAUUUGUUAGGUAAAUUUACUAAUAAUUUAAUGACGUUAAAUGUCGUUUACCUAAUUAUUAGGUACUAAAACUAAACCAGCAUAUAUAAUUAAAUAAAUUUCAACGGAUAUAUCAUAUAAAAAAUUAGUACAUAAUAAUAAAAGUCAUCUCUAAAUUAAAAAUUUCCAUCAUAUGAAUUUAAAUUUACAAAAUAUCCUUUAAUCUUAAUUAUAUAUUUUUAAACAAAAAUUUUAAGAUUUGUUGAAAUAAAAAGCACACAAACAAACAAGCAACAAUUUCAACAUUGAAGUUAUCUCUCCAAAAGAGCUAAGAUUAAGGUUUCCACUUUAAACUUGAUAAUUCUAAAAGCAAAAGGUGACCAAAUGGGCAUUUGUCUCCUAAUCUUAUAUUCUUACUCAACUAUAAAUUGAAUAUAUGCUUGUAAAUAUUUAAUGUGCUGUUGGUGUAUAGGUCUCAUGCACCAUCAAGCUUUUUUCUCAAUCAAAUGAUUACACAUUUUAAGCAUUUGCAAAUAAUGUUAUAAUCUGUAAAGUGCAGCAAUCCCCCACGAAAAGUGUCCCUCUCCCAAGUACAAAUCAACAAAAUCUCAUAUCGAUAACAUCAAUUCCAUACCACCAGACCCUCAAAACCCCCUCUGUUAUUCUGCCCUCUAAAAAGCAAUUGUGCAAGCAAUCGAAACAUAAGACCCAUAUAACCAAAGAUCCUUUAGACACUAAUAGCUAACCAAUUCUUCAGAAGAAACUCAACAACAUCACUCAUGAUAUAUUCAGCACCAUGCCUUAAACAUUCCAGGCCUUUUUAUUCCAGCUAACGCUAAAGCAAAGGCUACCUCAUUUCCGUGCUUCUCAGCCUUCAAGAAGGAAAUAUUACCUACUUUAUCCAUUCUAUUUUCGAUAUCCUUAAAGAUAGAUUGCAGCAUCCACAGUCUCAACCUUUUGUUCUCAAUCCAACUAAACACCUCAUUUGAUCCAAUCUCAAUUAUUAGAGAGCCUUUACCUUUCCAGCCCAUUGCUAAAUACACAUCCAAAGUAAUGAUGAUCGCUCCAAUCUCAGCUGCAAUGGAGUCCUUUGCUGCAACUAGACUAAAAAAUAUUGCCCUUGCCACCCCAUUCAAGUUUCUUAACACCCCUCCACACCCAGCUUCAUCCUCGUUCGCCACUCCACUUACAUUAAAUUUUACCCAACCAUACCUCGAAGGAUACCAGAACAGGCCACCAAUUCUAGAUUUUUUAUAAUUACAUCAGCUUCUAUACGGACACAUUCACCAUGAUCUCUCUUGCACUCUUAAUUCUUCUUGAACAGCCCUAACCCACAUCAAUGCCUGUAUCUUGGAGUGAAAUAACAAAUUGCUCACUGUAGACCACUUCCUUUCAAACACUAACUCGUUCCUUUCCAGCCACACAGACCAGCAUGUCGCUGUCACUGAUAUUAACCAUAGGCUUUUGCACACCUGUAAACUUCACAUUAUUACAUAAAGAGUAAAAAUCUAAGAAACCAUCAACUGGAUUCCAUUCAACAUCCUACCACUCGAAAAUAUUUCGCCAAAACCCUUCAAUGAAAUUGCAUUGAAAGAAAAGAUAAUUUGCGCUCUCCAGUUCUCUAUCGCACCAAGAGCAACCUCUCUCCAAUUGACGAAGCUUUACACCUCUUCUAGUCAGGAACUCCUUAGUAGGUAGCCUAUUUAUUGAAGUCAUCCAAAGGAAGCUUUUUACUCUAUAAGGUACCUUUAACUUCCAAAUCUUAUCAAAAGUGAAACUAAUGUCUUCCACCCCUUUGAUCAAUAAUUUUGAUAAUUUCCUAACUGAGAGCACCCCCUUAUUAUCAUGUAUCCAUAUUAGUCGAUCCUCCUCUUCUAGCGCCAGCACCUUACUACUGACUACUUCCCUUAAGCGAUUGAGCAUAUCAAUUCUUUUUCCAAUAGUGGUUGUAUAAAGAAGUCUACCCAAUUAACCUCGGUAAACCAGUUCGAGUUUGAGAAGUCUUUCACUAACUCUUUCUUAUUAUUGACUAAACAAAACAGCCUUGGAAAUUCCACUCUCAGUGGUUGUUCUCCAUACCAAAUAUCCUCCCAAAACAUUUUCAUAUUACCAUUCCUAAUCAGCCAACGAAAAGAUUCUUUCCCUAUCCAUUUAGCCACUUUUGAGUCUUUAGCAUUCUCCACGAUACCCUUCCAAACCACCGACAUAUCUUUUGUGUUAUUCGUACUAAUUCACCAUUGGUGUGCAAGGGAUUCGUACUUCGUAACUAUAAUUUUUUUCCACAAUGUAUCUCUUUCUACCGCAAAUCUCCAACUCCAUUUGGCCAUGAGUGUCUUGUUGUUUACCCUGAUACCUAUCACUCCCGCACCCAUCUUAUCCUUUAGCAAACAAAUCCAUGUCCACUUUACCUUCGUUAUUUUCCUUUGUCUACCAACUUUCCCUACAAAAAAUUCAUUCUAAUUUUGUUAAUUUUAUUAAUCACAGCUACAAGUGCUUGGAAAUUUGACAUGAAAUAGAUAGGUAAAGAGGAUAACACUGUGUUAAUAAGCACAAUUCUCCUUGCCUGGUGUGUCGUUAAAAGCACCAAAAAUAACCUAUCCCUAUGAAAUAACAAAAAGAAUAGUAUAAGGGAAGUAGGGUCAAAUCUUCAAGGACUGGAUUGCUACAACUUCUUGUUCCUCAAAAUCCUAGGCACAAUCGUGCCCAAGAAAAAUAGCGUACUUGGAAAUAAUAAAAAAGACAGAAUUAAAAAUAUGGACGAAUUGAAAUUGUAUGAAUUAAAAUUAAAAUUGUAAAAAGAAACAAAAUUGAGGAAAUGGAUUCUUCGAUUUAAGGGAUUCUAGCCUCGAGUUGUGUCGAUCCUCAUUAGGUUCAAUCCUAGGCUUUUAGGUGAUCAUUCUCACACCAGAAUAAGCCAGCCAUAGUGGAAGAGAAUGACUAGGACCACCAGCUCCACUUAGAUUUUAGACUUACGAUUUAGAGGAACCUGACUCUAGCCAACCAUCACUUUUGUGGGACCUUCUUACACUAGAUCAUCGUUUCUUAAUGGCGAAUGCCACGCCAUUUCUUCUCUUGGGCUCGAAAACCUCUGACAUAGUAAGUUAGUGAAUCGACUGUGCAACCUUCCCAAAAUAUAUAAAGCGACCGCCUUUGCAUAAGAUGAAAAGAUCACUUUGGAAGGACAUAGAUGGAAGCGUCACUCCCAUAAUACAGAGAAAUGGUGAAUACUCAUUGAAAAGGCUAAGUGCGGGUUCUAAGCCUCAUGAACCUUUUUUGAGGAAUCUCGAUAACCUUUGACUAGAUGAGUUUAGUGGCUCAUGCUUUUUGGAAAAAAAGGAAAUAAGUUUAAUGGAAUGGAAUUUUAUUGAAAAAUAGAAGGAACAAAAAGGCUAGAGCUUUAGGGGCAAUGAGUGUUUAACAGAAAAGAUGAAAGCGGUGAUGGAGGGUGCAAAGUAAUUGGUGAAGGGGACAGUGGGGAAGAGAUAUGGAUAAGGGUGACGGUAAGGUUGAAGGGGAAGGUGCGAGUGAAGGAGAAGGAGGAUGAGAGGUUUCACGUAAAGGAGAGGGAGGUGGAGAAGGAUAAGCGUGGUCUAGGUCGACGUGUUGGGGUUUCGAGAAUCGACGCUGACUAUUAUUAACAUUGAAGGGUGGUUCAACGGUAGCGCGACUCCUAGUCCUAGCCAUGGUGGUUCGAAAAUCAGCGGUUUAGGUAAAGGAGAGGGCUAACGGCGGCUUGAAGGAGUUUGAGGUGAAUAUGGGUGAAAAAUUAGAGUUUGAAGGUGUAGAAGGAAGGGUUUUUAGGUGUAGGGUGGGUGUUUGGACGUAGGUUUGGGUGAGUUUAAAGCAGGGAUGCGCUAUUCCUACCUGGAUUAGGGAAGAAUAUGGGGUGUUUGCUAAAGCAUGCCCAUUCCUUCAAGAUGCCGUUCCAAUUUGAAUUUUUUUCUCAUCGGUUCGCUUAGACAAAAAAGAGAAAUUUAUUAACAUGAAAAUAAAAUAAAAUAAAAUAAAGUAAUAUAUAAUAAAAUAAUAAAUAAAUAAAUAAAAAUUGGGUUACCUCCCAUUAAGUGCUUGUUUUAUGUCAUUAGUUUGACGUCCCGAUUAGUAUUAUGGAGGUUCCAGCUGAAUCUUUUCAAACGUAUAAGCUUGAAAAUUCUCAUAAAACGACUUCAACCUUUGACCAUUGAUUGUGAAUCGUUUUCCCUACUCUUCACUUCCUGUUUCAAGUACACCAUGUGUGAACAAUUCGGUUACAAUAAAGGAUCUUUGCCAUCAUGACCGCAGCUUACUAGGGAAUAAUUUUAGCACAGAGUUAUAAACUAACACUUUUUAUCCUAUCGAGAAAUGCUAUCGGGAUAUUUUAUUAUCAUGGAACAAUAUUGUUUUUUCCCUAUAAAUACGAGCAUUCUUGUAGGCAUAUUACGAAUUUACUCUAAUUCUUGGAUGUCUAAUUUUCUUGCUUUUCCCGCAGGUUCUAAUUCCAUGUUACAUUGUCGUAUAGCCCAGUAAGCCUUAUGUUCCAAUUCUACUAGAAGGUGGAAAGCCUUGCCAAAAACAAGCCGAUAUGAGGUUAUGCCAAUUGUUCCCUGAUAUACGAUCCGAUAUGCCCAAAGUGCGUCAUUUAGACAAAGACUCCAAUCCUUUCGAUUAGGCUGAACCGUUUUCUCCAAAAUGGUCUUGAUGUCUCAAUUCGAGAGUUUUGCUUGGUCGUACAUUUGGGGGUGAUAGGUUGAAGUUAUACGGUGUUGAACUCUGUAUUUUUUCAUAAGUGCCUCCAUGACUCUAUUGCAAAAAUGGGUUCUGCGAUCGCUGAUCAAGGUUGAGGUGUGCCAAACCUAGAAAAAAUAGUUCGUUUUAGAAAUUCCACAACAAUCUUAGUAUUGUUAUUGCGAGUAGGCUUUACUUCUAUCCACUUAGAAACAUAGUCUACCGCAAGAAUUAUAUACACAUUUCUAAAUGAGGAAAUAAACAGACCUAUGAAGUCGAUACCCCACACAUAAAAAAUCUCACAUACAUGAAUAGAGGAUAGGGGCAUUUGAUUUCGCUUAGUUAUGUUACCUGUAUGUUGGGAUUUAUCACAAGAUUUAUAAAAAUUAUAUGCAUCUUAGAAAAUUGUGGGUCAGUAUAGCCACACUCUAAUACCUUAUGAGCAAUCCAUUUAAGGCCAAAGUGACAUCCACAAACUUCGGUAUGACAAAAAGUGAGUAUAGAAACUACCUCGAUUUUCAAAACACAUCGUCUUAUUAUAUGAUUUGAGCAAUGUUUCCACAGGUAUGGGUUAUCCCAAAUAUAAUAUUGAGCUUCCUUUCUAAGCUUGUCUUUCAUGGAACAUGCUAACCUAAUGGGCAGUGAACUUGUGGCAAGGAGGUUCACCAUAUCUGCAUACCAUAGGAAAUGUGCUUUGGCAGAAAAUAAACCUUCAUCAAGAAACUCAUCCUUUAUAGGAAUGUCACCACAAGGUGUUUUUAACCUACUCAAGUGGUCAGCCACCAAGUUUUCCCAUCCCUUGUCUUGAAUCUCUAUGUCGAAUUCUUGGAGCAGUAAAAUUCAUCUAAUGAGUCUUGGUUUCACUUCAUUCUUUGCGAUAAAAUACCUAAGAGCUACAUGGUUAGAAAAAAAAUUACUUUAGAUCCCAAUAGAUAAGACCAAAAUUUAUCCAAAGCAAAUACAAUAGCCAAAAGUUCUUUCUCUGUGGUGGUGUAGUUGCAUUGUGCAGCAUCUAGGGUUUUUGAGGCAUAACAAAUGACAUAGGGCUCUCUGUCUAUCUUUUGUCCCAACACGACCCCUACAUUGUACUCGCUUGCAUCACACAUGAUUUCAAAAGGAUAGUUCCAAUUUGGUGCUUGUACUAUAGGAGCAAAAACCAACUUCUGUUUGAGUGUGUCAAAAGCCUUUUUGCACUUUGGGUUAAACUCAAAUUUCUUAUCUUUUUGCAACAAUUCGCAUAGUGAUUCAGCUACUUUUAAGAAGUUUUUUAUAAAGUGCUUGUAAAACCCUGCAUGGCCAAGGAAAGAAUAGACUUCCUUUAUAGUUGAAGGAUAUGGUAAAGAAUUUAUAAUGUCAGUUUUGGCCUUAUCAACCUCAAUCCCUUUAGCUGAAACUAUAUGUCCUAGAAUUAAACCUUUGUCUACCAUAAAAUGACACUUUUCGUAAUUCAAGAUAAGAUUAAAUUCUAUGCAUCUACUUAAAAUUGUCAUAAGGUUUUUACGGGAUUCAUCAAAACAAUCCGCACGCACAGUAAAAUCAUCCAUAAAAACUUCGAUAAUGUUUUCUACAUAUUUAGAAAAUAUACUCAUCAUGCAUCUUUAGAAGAUGGUCGGUGCAUUGCAAAGUCUGAAUGACAUCCUUUUGUAUGCAGAUGUGCCGAAUGGGCAUGUAAAAGUGGUCAUUUCUUGGUUUUUUGGUGCAACUGAGAUUUGGAAAAAACCUGAGUAUCCAUCAAGACAACAAAAGUGAGUUUUUCUAGCUAAAUGUUUAAGCAUUUGAUCUAUAAUAGGUAGAGGGAAAUGGUCUUUUCUUGUAUAAGAAUUCAACUUCUUGUAAUCAAUAAAGAUACACCACCCAUGUUACACUCGGGUUUGUACCAGGUCUCCCUUAGCAUUUCUCUUUAUUGCCAUGCCUGUUUUCUUGGGCACGACUAGCACUGGACUUACCCAUCUGCUGUCAGAAAUAGGGUAGAUUACAUCAGCAUCCAGUAGCUUAAUUAUUUCCUUUUUUACCAUAUCCAUCAUAUUCGGGUUUAAUCAUCUUUGUGCCUCUCGCUUUGGUUUCGUUUUUUCCUCCAAGUAAAUCUUGUGUGUGCAUGUCAAAGGGCUUAUCCCUUUUAAGUCGGUAAUGGUCCAGCCAGUUGCUUCCUUAUGGUUUUUCAGUACUUGAAUUAAACUUUCCUCUUCGAGCUUGGAGAGUUUAUUUGAAACUAUGAUCAGUAAAGUAUUAUCUUUCCCCAGAAAUGCAUAUUUAAGAUGCUUAGGAAGUGGUUUCGAUUCCAAAUCUGGUGCCUGCACAACAGAAGGUAGAAGUUUAGUAUUCAUUGGAGACAACAAUUCAUUAACAAAUUCAAAAUCAUCAAACAACGUUUCAGGUUUAUCUUCAUAAGGUGACUUAAAAGUUUCUCCUACUAAUGACUCAAUUAUGUCGACACGAUUUACAUUCAAGGUUUCACUUAGGUGACUAAUAGCAUCAUAAACGUUAAACUUCACAAUCUCCCCAUCAAAUUCCAUUGUGAGGGUUCCACUACACACGUCAAUCUUAGUGCUAAUGAUACUAAGGAAAGGUCGCCCCAACAAGAUGUCUGAAGACCUAGGAGUGUUAUCCUCUUCCAUUUUCACUACAUAAAAGUUUGCAAGAAAGAUAAGCUCGUUAACUUUCACUAAUACAUCCUCAAGGACUCCUUCGGGAUGUACAAUAGACCUGUCUCCCAAUUGAAUGAUAACACCUAUUUUCGUCAAAAAACCUACGUUAAGUGAUUCAUAAAUAGAAAAAGACAUUACAUUUAUGGAGGCCCUUAAAUCACACAUAGCUUUUUUUAUUCCUAAGUGCCUUAUUUUGCAUGGUAUUUCAAACAUGGCCUUGUCUUUGCAUUUUGCUGUCAUCUUCCGCUACAACACCGCAAAUACAUUUUCACCAACACUUACUCUUUCAUUUCCAAUAAAUUUUCGCUUGUUGGUGCAAGCUUCUUAAGAAACUUAGCAUAUCGCAGAAUUUGUUUGAUGGCAUCUAACAACAAUAUGUUAAUCUCGACAUUUCUGAAUGUUUAAAGGAUCUUUUUUUCCUCCUUACACUUCUAAUGUUGGUUCAACCGUCCUGGAAACGGAGGUUGAGUUUUGGGCAAUAGAGGUUUCGUUCAGACUUGUUCAUCGUUCUCGUGCUUUUCCUGGACGGAAUCUUGGCCAAGAUUUUUGUCAGGAUUUGGGUUCUAGUUUUUCUCCACUUUGCAAUAUCACUGCAUUUGUGCUUGGGUUGGUUCCAUUUGCGAUAGUAGCUUCCCUUGUGAGUUCAUUUUCUCAAUUGCUGUGGUUAAUUCUCUCAUAGAUGUCUAGAUUUUCUAUUGAAAAUAAAGCAUAUUGGCUAUUAAUUUAUUGACCAUUGUUUCUAGAGAGGUACCUGAAUCUCCCGUUUGUUGUGGAAACCGAUUUUGGUAUGACUGGUUAUACCGUGGGUUAGCCCCAUAACUCAACUUAGGAUGAUCUUUCCUUAUUGGAUUGUAGGUAUUAGUGUAGGGUCAUAUCGCCUUUGGGGUGGCCCAAGAAAGUUCCUCACAACAUCUAAAUGGACCAUAGUAUCAUCAUACAAAUUAGGGCAUGCAUCAGUUGUAUAUUCGGGUGUUGCACAAAUUCCGCAUAGUCGGUCUGGUCUUACUUUUUCUGCAACAAAAGAAUUCAUGAUAUCAGUAAGUCUAUCAACUUUAUCUUCUAAAGUUGAAUUUCUUAGUUGGUAAACCCUUCUAGUGGGUUCAAGAUUGGCUCAGAAUUGCUGAGUAUUUGCAGCCAUUGUGGAUAUGAAGUCCCUUGCCUGUUGGAGAGUCAUGUUGACCAAUGGCCCUCCACUGGCGGCAUCUACCAUAUUCAUUUCUAUGGGCUUCAAGCCUUCAUAGAAGUAUUGGAGUAGAGACUAUUCUGUUAUUCCAUGUUGUGGGCAGCUUGCACACAACUUCUUAAAUCGUCCCCAAUAGUCGUAAAGAGACUCCACAUCUUUUUUCCUUAUCCCAACGAUCUCCCUUCUUAACUCAGCUGCAUGCGAUGCUGGAAAAAAUUUGUUGAGAAACAAACAGGAAAGAUCAGUCCAAGUUAUGAUAGAUCCAGGAUGUAGAUAAAAUAAUCAUUCCCUAGCAGAAUUUGCUAGGGAAAAAGGGAAAUCACUUAAUUUUAUUUGAUCCUCAGUUAAGCCUUGAGGUUUAAUACUAAGACAAACCAUUUGAAAUUCUUUCAGAUGUUUGUGUGGAUUUUCAUUUUGUAACCCACAAAAAGUCGGUAGCAACUAGAUUAAUCCUGACUUCAGUUCAGAAUUAGUAUACAUAGUAGGAUACGCAAUGCAUAACAACUGUUGUUCCGUAGGAGCUUCGGCCAUUUGCCGAAUUGUUUGAGCCAUAGGUUGAUGUGCUUAGUUUGGGUUUACGUUAACCCUAGUGUUAGGCACUUCUUCUAGUGGAUCAACUCCUAUCUUUCGUUCUCCAAUAUUUGAGUAGGGUUUUCGUUAAUCCUACACUCAACUUUGUCGCCUGCUUCUGUUUCUAGUAAUGGGCUACUCUGAGUUCCUACCACCUUUGACAGCUUUUUUCGUAGCUUUGUUUCUUUGCAAUUAGCUCUCGUAGUCUUUUCUAUUUUUGAAUUGAACGUAAGAAUUCCUGAAGCAGAUCUGGUCAUAAGCAAAAGAAAUAAGAUUAGUACAUUACUAGUCCUCGACAACGGCACCAAAAUUUGUUGUGUCAUUGAAAGCGCCAAAAAUAACCUAUCCCUAUGAAAUAAUGAAAAUAAUAAUAUAAGGGAAGUAAGGUCAAAUCCUCAGAGAUUUAAUUGCUAUAACUUCUUGUUCCUCGAAAUCUUGGGCAUAGUCAUGCCCAAGAAAAACAACAUACCAAGAAAAUAUAAAAAAGACAGAAUUAAAAAUAUGGACAAAUUGAAAUUGUAAAAAGAAACAAAAUUGAGGAAAGAGAUUCUUCGAUUUAAGGGAUUUUAGCCUCUGGUUGUCUCGAUACUCCUUGGGUUCAAUCCUAAACUUUUAGCUGAUCCUUCUCAUAACAGAAUAAGCCAGUUAUAGUAGAAGAGGAUGCCUACGACCACCAACUCAACUUAGAUUUUAGACUUACGAUUUAAAGGAACCUCACUCUAGCUAACCGUCACUUUUGUGGGACCAUCUUACAUUAGAUCAUCGUUUCUCAAUGGCGAAUGCCUCACCAUUUCGUCUCUUGGGCUCGACAACCUCUAACACAGUAAGCUAGCGAAUCGACUGUGCAACCUUCCCAAAAUACACAAAGCGGCUGCCUUUGCACAAGAUUAAAAGAUCACUUUUGGAAGGACAUGGACGAAAAUGUCAGUCCUGUAAUGCAGAGAAACGGUGAAUACUCAUUGAGAAGGCUAAGUGCAGGUUCUAAGCCUCAAGAACCUUUUUUGGGGAAUCUCAAUAACCUUUGGCUAGAUGAGUUUAGUGGUUCAUGCAUUUUGAAAAAAAAAGUUUAAUAGAAUGGAAUUUUAUUGAAAAAUAGAAGGAACAAAAAGGCUAGAGCCUUCGGGGGAAUGAGUGUUUUACAAAAAAGAUGAGUAAGUAUUCAUGCCACUCCAUCCCCUAUUUAUAGUACAUAGAAAACCUAGUUUGUUCCUAUUUAAACUCUAAAUUAUAAAUAAAAAUAUAAUUUGAAAUUAAAUCUAAAUAAUAUCAUAAUAAUCUUAACAAUAAUCCUAAAAAUAAAAUUCAAAUUUAAAUAGAGUCUUAUGUUUAUACAUAUCUUUUUUGAAUUUUUGCCCCCAAGUCUUUCAUACUUUGUAUUUCUAGCACCACUUCUUUCCCAUUUCGCAUGCUGACCCAUUUUAUCUUUAAGUUCACGCUUUUUGCCUCCAAUUUCUUUUUACCUUCAAUUUAGUCCCUACAAUAUGAAAACCCAUAAAAACCCCAAAUUAGUAGAAUCAUACUUAAAAUGUAUAUGCAAUUAACAAAUAAAAGUAUUUCAUUUUAGAGUAUUAUCACUACCCAAGAGAGAGAACGACACUUCCAGCCCGAUAGUUUCCUCUCAACUCUUUCCACGAUUCCAUUCCAAGUAGAAAUCUUCCUUGGAUCAACUCCUAAUGGAAUUCCCAAGUAAUUGAACGACAAUUCCUUUAUCUUACACUUAGAAACAACAACCAUUCUGUACAUAAACUCCUCAUCAAUGCCAAACCCAUGACUUACGAAAUUUAAUACUUAACCUAGAGAAAAUUUCAAAGCAACGAAGAAUAUACUUAGUAUUCCUCACCACUUCCUUAUCCGCCCUCAAAAAUAAAAUGGUGUCAUCCGCGAAUUGUAAAUGUGUGAAUGACUUACCAAGUAUAACAUCUUUUAUCCCCUCAAUGAUCCUCAUUUCCUCAGCUUUAUCCAUCACCAAGUGCAGUACUUCCAUCACUAGAAUAAAUAAGAAUGUUGAUAAUAGGUCCCCUUGUCUGAGACCUCUGUAGAUUCUAAACUCAUUUGUGACCAUAUGAUUGAUAAGUACCGCUGCUCUCGCUGUUGACACACACUCCAACAUCCAACCAGUCCACCUCUUUCCAAACCCCAUUUUCAAUAAAACAAGCUCCAAAAAAUCCAAGCGCACACAAUAUUAAGCUUUGGAAAAAUCUAGCUUAAAAAUCAUAUAUCCCCCCGCACCUUCCUUCUUCUUAACCGAAUAUAUUAUCUCAUUUGUGAUUAAUAUUCCAUCGAAAGUUUAUCUUCCUCGAAUGAAUGCGCAUUGUGUAUCACUUACCAUGACCCUAAUAACAUCACAUAAUCUUCUCGAUAGAACCUUCGCCAUAAUUUUGUACAAUGAACUCACCAAACAAAUUGGUCUGAAUUCGAAAAUGUCAUUCGGAUUUUCAUUCUUGGGUAUGAGCGCUAUGAAAGACUAAUUAAUGCUUAUCUCCAACUUACCAAUUUUAUAAAAUUCCGCCAUCAUUUCAAACAAAUCCUUUUGUACAAUCCUCCAACACUUUCUAAAAAACAUAGAUUAAAUCCAUCCGUGCCCGAAGCUUUGUUCUCAUCACAGCUCCACACUGCUUCCUUAAUUUCCUCCAUAGAAAAGGUACCUCAAGUUUCAAAAUUUUCGCUUCAUUCAGCCUAUUGAAUUUCAAUACCAUAUCCAUUUUCCAUUUCCUCAAAGGGCAGCUAAAGUGGUUUCUAAAAAAAUUGAACAUCUUCUCUUUCAGCUCUUUAGGUUCACAAUACCAAGAAUUGCCAAUUUUCAUCCCAUGCACAAUUUUCCUAUUUACUUUAAUCUUUAUCGCCCUAUGAAAAAAUGUUGUGUUAGAGUCACCAUCUUUCAACCAUGUCAUUCUUGAUUUUUUUUCCUCCAAAUAGAUUCCUUAAUUUAAUUGCUUCCCCAAGUUCUAGAUUCAACCUUUUUAUCUCCACCAUUUCCAACUCUGUUAAAUCUCGAUUAUCGCUUUCAUCAUCCAACAUCUUAAUCCUCUCUUCAAUCCCAUUUAUUCUUUUUUUCCAAUUCAUUUUGUGCAUCACCAUUCCAUUUCCUAAGAGCUCCUUUUAACUUCCUCAAUUUCCUUGAUAUUCUACCAUUCAUGCUGUCCAUUUCAUUCCAUUCUUUUUUAAUUAAACUCGGACACUCCUUUUUGCUAUGCCACACGUUUAUAAACUUGAAAUUUCUCGGACCCCAAUCCACUGCUCCGUUAGUUAACAAAAUCGAAAUAUGAUCAGAUACUUAUCUUUUUAGUCCCUGCUGUUGAAGAUCUUCAAAAUGUUCUAACCAUUCUUCAUCCACUAGAAAUCUAUCCAGCCUACUUUUCUUCUUUUCUGGUCCAUACCAGGUAAAUUUUUUCCCCAUCAAUGGUAAAUCCACCAAUUUGCAUUUGUCAAUAAAACUCCCUAAAUCCUUCGAUCCCUUUAAUAAUCCCACACAGUUGCUUCUUUUGCUCCUGUUACUAACCGUGUUAAAGUCACCUCCCAUAAUCCAAUGAUUAGUAAACUGUUUUCAAACCUCAAUCAUCUCCUCCGAUAAAAUCUUUUGUUCCAUCAACGUGCUGGGCGUAUAUGCAUUGAUAAAUAUUCCUUCCCAACCUUUGGACAACCAAUUCCCUUCCACCACUACAAUUCGAUUAACACAAUAUUCCUUAUUCAUCUAAAAAUACCCUUUAUCCCUUAUUGUAAUUAACCCUCCCGAACGACCUACUUCUACCGCAUACCUAAAAUCAAAGUUGUCGUCCCUCCAGAUUCUUCUAAUUAGAUCCCCAGACACUACCUCUAAUUUUGUUUCCUGUAAAAAAACAUACUUUUACCCUGUGCAUUCUAACUAAUCUACUCACCAUUGUAAUUUUGACCUCUGGUCCCAGACCUAUAUUCAAACUCGAAUAUUCCAACCAAUAUUCCAAGAUAAAUCAAAACAGCAAAUUCAAACUCGCACCUGUUGUUGCACUGGGGCUUUAUUUGUUCUCUUCAGGUCCUUUGCUACUGCACUUCGAGUCUCAUUAUAUCCUCAAUGACAUCCCUUUCAUCUCCCCUUACACUUAAUCCCAAUUUUUUCCCCACUUCCUAGGUUUUCUUUACCUCCCUUAAAAUUACCUUCUUCCUGUUGCUGAUGUCCGAGUCUAACAAUGAUAAAUUCACGAUUUUCUCUUCACCCCUUAACACUGUCCUACCAUUUUCCUUUCUCCAAAUUUUAUCCCUCUUUUGUUUCUCCUUAGAUGUCAGCACCCUAUCCUAAAUGCCUCGCAUGGAAUUAAUUUUUUAUUAAAUUGUUUCUUCUUCUUUCUACUUCGGAUUGUAUUUAAGAAUACAUCUGCAAUCUCCUGGAAAAUCCCCUGUCCCCUUGAUUCCUUUUCUUCUGAUUUGUUUUUAGAAUUUUCUUUUUGUUGUCAAACUAUUUUCCUCUCCCAAAAUCAACUUUUCAUUUCUAAUUGAGCCCACACCCUCUUCCAUAUCCUCAUGUGCAUCUGAUCCCCCACUCGAGCUUAUUACAAGUGCCAGACCCAUAUUUACUAAGUCCUUUAUAGCCCGGUCCAUACUUCUAUUGUCUCCAAAUUCCCCUUCAACUAAAUUUCCAUUAGUUUGGUGCCAGUAUACUAAAGGAAAUUUUGAAGGAAUAUGAAAAGUGUUCUGGACAGUGCGUUAAUUUCAACAAGUCCACCAUAUUUUUUAGCACCAAUACGUCAGAAGGAAAAAUGAAUGAAGUUUCGGCAAAAUUGGGGGUUAGGAUCUCAACAAACUUAGAACGAUAUCUAGGGCUUCCAAACAUGGUUGGUCGACGGAAGAAAGAAUCCUUUCAGCAUUUAAAAGAAAAGAUUGUUACCAGGAUUGAUGGAUGGAGUACUAGAAUGUUAUCUCAAGGAGGUAAAGAAGUCUUUAUUAAAUCGAUGCUACAAGCCAUUCCAACUUACGCUAUGUCAUGAUUCUUAUUACCAAAGACUCUUUGUGGAGAAUUUGAAAAUAUUUUUUCUAAAUUUUGGUGGUAAUAAACGCACGGUAGGAGAGGUAUUCAUUGGUGUCAGUGGAAGUACUUAUGCCGUCCUAAAGAAGAGGGUGGAUUGGGCUUUAGAAAUAUGGCUCAAUUCAAUGUUUCACUUUUAGCUAAACAAGGAUGGCGUAUUAUAAACAAUCCAAAUUCUUUAGUAGCACAAGUACUAAAAGCGAAGUAUUUUCCAAGUGUUGAUUUUUUAAACUCACAGUUGGGGAAUAAUGUAUCGUAUACAUGGAAAAGUAUUUGGGCUGCUAAGGGCAUUCUAGCAAAGGGCUUAUGUUGGAAAGUGGGUUGAGGUACGAAAAUUUCAAUCAGUCGUGAUUAUUGGAUUCCAGGUUUACCGCGUGAUAGAUUACCAGUUUUAAAUUCAAAUUUGAACGAUAGUAAAGUUGCAGAGCUAAUUGAUUCAAGUAGCAGAACAUGGAAACAGGAGUUGAUUGAGUAUGCCUUUCCAGAGGAUGUAGCAGAGAUGAUCCUCAGUAUCCCACUAGCUGAAAGUCCAUGAAGAUUUCCAAGUUUGGAGCGUUGAAGCGACGGGUGAGUUCACAACACAGAGCGCCUAUAAACUAUUACAAAGCAUUGAAAAUAACCCUGAAGCUUAUGCUUUACAAAACGACUACAAGGAUUUCUACAGGAAACUAUGGUUACUUGAUCUUCCUUCAAAAAUUAAAAUUACAGUUUGGAAGAUAUCUUGGAAUUUUCUAGCUACGCGUGCUAAUAUGCUACUUAGAAGACUGAUGAAUACGACAAUAUGUCCUCAUUGUAGUUCAGGAACUAAAACCAUGGACCAUCUCUUCCGGGAAUGUCCUGCUACAAUAGCAGUAUGGAGAGAGUUAUCUUUUCAUAGGUAUUUGCAGGGCAAUCAAAUGAGGUUUCUACAGUGGUUAACCUGGGUUUUCUCACAAAGCUCGACUCCUCAGCAUCAAAUUUUUUGUGUAGCAGUAUGGGCCAUCUGGGGAGACAGGAACAAUAGACUGCAUAAAAAAGAUGGUAAAUUUGGAAAAGAAGUAGGGAGAUUUUUUCAUAGCUAUAUUUCAGAUCUUGAUGCAGUUGGUAAAAAUAGAUUGGAAUCUUUCAUACCCGUAAAAAUAUGGAUAAAGCCAGUGGACGGGGUAGUCAAAAUCAAUUUCGAUGCAGCAUACGAUGGUAGACAAAGUAAAGCGGCUAUUGGAGUUGUGGCCCGUGAUAAGGAGGGUUUAGUUCUUCUAUCAUGUACGGAGGUUCAUCAAAGAGUUUCCUCAGCCUUUGGGGCAGAAGCAAUAGCGUGCCGGACAGCCCUCUAGAUCGGCGUUAACAUGCAGUGGGAAAAAGUUACUAUUGAAGAGGAUUCUUUAUCAAUAAUAAGAAAAUGUAAAACAAAAAGUCUUGAUAAAUCAUUGGUUAGUGCGUAUUUACAUGAUAUUCAUCAACUUCUGCUUAAAUUCAAGGAGUGUAGGUUUGAGCAUAUCCCAAGAUUAGCAAACAACCUUGCGCAUAUCUUAGCAAGUGAAGCUCUGAAGAGUAGUAGAGGAGCCUACCUGGUUGGAUGAGUCCCUGAAGCGGUAGAAACCCAAGCUGAAACUGAUAGGGUAAGAGAACCAGAUUGAAAGAAGAAAGCGAGAAAUGAAGGGAGGAGAGUAUAGAGAAGGGCAAACAUCAAAGUUAUUUCGGCAAGCCCUAUAGUGAUUUGAAGCGUCUUGGAAAAGUAAAGAAAAUUGAAGAGACAAGACGGUUGUAGUCUUUUAAGACUGAUUGGGCAGGUAGAACAGUAAACAUUUAUUAGUAUCAGAUUUUGCUUCCUUUUUCAUUUUCCUAGGAGAUUAGGUUUCCAAUUUUUGUCUUUUAGUUUUCUUUUUGCUGGGCUCAAUUGUUUUUAAUUGGGCUGUGGUUGUUUUUCUAGGAUAUUAAGUGUAACAUUUAUUUAUCUUUUAAAAAAAAGCCCAAUCUGAAACUUAUUUCAAAAAAAAAUUUUCAUUAGUUUCGGCAUCAUGAAUCAUGAUCCCCUUCAUUUAAUACCCCCAACAUCUUCUGACAUUCUUUUCCAUCUCUAUCAGUUUCAAUGCCAUCUUUCAUAAUUACUUCCUCCAUGACGUUUCGGUUGCCUUCCUGAGAUUUCUCUGAUUCCAAUCCGAUCGUCGAUUCCGGUUCCGACACACUUUCUUUAGCCUCCUCCUGUCAUACCUCCUUGUUCAAGAUGUUGUUUUUAGAUACUUCUGACCAUCCCCUUUCUCUUACAUUGAUCGGAAAACUGAUAUCUCCCACCUCCAAUGUUAUUACUUCUUCAAUCUGCAUCGGUUGUUUGAUUGAAAUCAACAUCUCAAUCUUCUCCUAGUUGGUUGUUUUUGUCAAUUUCUCCCCUAUCGAAAUUAGAUCGCCCCAAUUGCCAGCUACCCUUUUGAACAUUUCGUAAUUCCAACAGCAUGCACCAUCAAUUAAUCAAUUAAUAAUAUAAGACAUUAUUAUUGGUGUAAAAUAAAAAAAAACAUUGAAGGACUUGAAAAUAAAUACAAUUAACUUUAUUUUUAUUUAAACAUAAUUAAAUAUUAAUUAUAAUUAUUUUAUUUAUCUUUUGGGUUUUAAGUUUUAAAUUUUGGGUUUCAAGUUUCGGAUUUGAUGUUUUUUCAUUUAUUUAUGUUUAAUAAUUAUAAUUAAUAUUUAUUUUUAAACCCUUCAAUAUUUUUUUUGUCAUACACUAGUGAUGAUGUGUCAUUUUAUUAUCAACUGGUGGUACAUGAAAUUUAUGUACCAAUGAUACAUCAAAUAUUCUCCCUAGCUAUAUAUAUAUGUCUCCAUCUCAUAGUUUUUGUAACUUUGUUUUAAAGAGUUAACAGAAUAUCUCUUAUAUUAGAUUUGAUUAAGAAUUUUGGGAAGAUUUUUUAUAGAGAGUUUUGUGUUUUAGUUGGAGGGCUUUGUAUUCAGGGUUAUUUGUUUUGAUUAUCUUCAUCUUGUACUUUUUAGAUUUCUUUCUCAUUAGUGAAGUCUCCUUUGCCCGUAGUUUUUUAUCCUCUUAAUUGAGGAUUUUCCACGUAAAUUUUGCAUGUAUGACUUUCCUUUAUUUUCUCUUUCAUUGUUUAUAUGGGUUGAUCCCCAACACUAAUUUCAACCAACAAACACACCCAAGUAGGAUUUAUUUAAAUUAGAUUGUAUGCCCACACAACAUUGAUUGCAUACACAGUUAUGGUAUUUAAAUUAGCUCCAUUGGCCAUGGAUUCUACAAGAAAGUUGUGUUGACAUUGAUGAUUUAGAUUAAGUUAUUGGUGAUGUCUGCAUUGUCAAAGCCUCAGGUAGAAUGUGUAACAGAUGCCUUGACCAUUGCUGACUUUUAACAAUCCAGCAUGUUUUAAAACUUGGUGGCAGUUGCUGCUACCGGUUAUGUAUCGAGUUGCUGGGAUGCUAGUUUUGUUUUAUUGUGCUAUUGGAGACAUGGUUUGUUGAACUGUUGUUGGGAGUUUAUUUGUUGUCAGAUUUUCUAUGUUAUGGUUCCUGGUUUGUAGUUUGAUGAUACGAUGGGUGGAUGCGGAAGUUGGAGAAAACAUAAACUAUAAAUUGAGUCAAAAGAUAAAAUAGUAAAGGCCAUUCUGUUUUAUUUUUCCAUAAUAUUAUACAAAUAGUCAACCGUGUAUAUAUACAUGGCACUGACAUGAUUGAGAAGGCCUACACACUUUCUAUUAGUUGUACCGGCUAUCAAAUUUUUUUAUUAUAAUUGUAGUACAGGUAAAUGCAGCAGCAGGCAGCACGUUAUUAUUUAACUUUGAUAGCCUUAAUUACCAGCAUAGCUUCACGAAGAAGCAACGGCAGUUAAGCCUCUAACUCAAAUGAUGCCUUCAUUGUGGGUGAACGGCUCCCGGCAUCAAUUUCAAUAGAUGCAACGUACCCAAACUUUGUAACUUUAAAUUUGGGUUUUCCUCUUUUCUCAAGGUCAGUUUUGAUUUGCCCCCAGUGAAUAGGUUGCCUUUGGAUAUCAGUAUAGACCUGCAGCAUGCAUGCAAUUAAUCAUACAUUAAAUGAUUGUGUAUACCCAUUCUAACUAGUUAAUUAAUGAUAAGAUUGAAUCGAGUACAAUAUAUACCUUGCUGUUCUCAUCGAGAGGGUUGCUCCAGGCAACAACCCACUUAGUUCCAUCACGUCGCCUGUACACAAGACCAGCAACUGAACCAUGACUAUCAGCAUCAUCAGUCACGGAUUCAUGUGUAAACUCUCUCGCAUCUCCAUCUUCAAUUAUUUCUGGGAAAUCAGCAUAAUGAGAGCCUUGCCAAACUUUCUUGUCCGUCAAGGUUAGAGCUUCGCUGGAAGAGUUCCAAAGCUUGCCGUUUGUGGUUUGUUGAGCAUUUUUCUGAGAAGCAGCCAUGGUAGCUAUCUAUGUGCUAU
rnacentral:lncRNA from 1 species